rnacentral:lncRNA from 1 species
GUGCAAAAUAGUGAGUGGACAAGAGGAGAAUAUAAAUUGAAAUAAACAACCUAAAUAGUAGCCUAUAUACGCGUUUCUGGAAAUUUCACUGUCAUCUAACUCUUCCCAAAAUGCGUGUUUUAUAGCGUAUAAGCGUUUUUAUACAAACACUACUAUAGUAGCCUAUUAUUAUAAUUCCAUAAAACAGCAAAGCAUUUGUAUUUUGUAUUUUUUAACAGACGAACAUGCUAGAGUCCAUUUACCGGCGUUACUCACCUUUUCCUUUCUGGAACAAAUCCUCUCUGAAUAUUACAAAAUUGUCAAUCCCUGAUUAGAUUCAGAAGUUCAUAAAAUACAGACUCCCAAAUAGUCACUAGACGAACCUCCACAUUUCUUCCUCUGUCGUAGCCCUUUUGGUUUUCAUGAAAUCACUGGGAUGUAACGCUUUCUUUCGACUCGUCCGAGAAUCGUUUGAGAUCAGUGAAAACGCUCAGCAGGGACGCGUGCUCGUCCUCAAGAUCGCGUCGAGACGAUUUCGGUUGAGUAUCACAACGUUAAAGACUCACUUACAGACCCAACGAAGCGACUCCCGACCGGGUUCGUCUGGUUUUCUUCUGAAAAUGCCACCCGUGCGGUUUUUGUUUGCGUUCGUGCGAAAAGAAGUCCGUGUCGUCGGCCUGCCCCAGCACUUUAGAGGAUACAGCUGGAUUCCGCACUCACGGAUGGAGGAGCGUGUGUGGGCAGAAAGACCUGACUCCCCCUCCAUCACUAACACCUCAGGACUACCAAACAGCUCACCCAGUGCAUCCUGGGAUUGUAGUUUCUGUCAAACCGAGCCCCUCUUAAAACCCCUAUAAAAUACCUCGCUCAAAAGAAAAACAAUGACAUUCUAAAUGUUCAAUAUAGCUACAACAUCGUUGUGUUGUAUCGUAUCGUAUCGUACUGUAUUGUAUUAUAUGAUAAGCCAGGUAAAUAAAAAAAUAAUAAUGUCCACGUUAUGCAUGAACUACCCAUUAAGAUAAAUACGAUAACAUUCUAAAUGCUUUAACGACAUUGUUAGAUAGAUGGAAUGACUGAUAAGUUUGCGUUAUCUUCCGUAGAUAAGGCUGUUCCGUUCAUUCUUUCUAUUUGUGACAACAAUGUCCACACACCCCUGACACGUUUGUGUUUGCAUAGUAAAGAUGACCACAACAAAGUUAAGAGCUUGCAAAUGUAUUAUCUGAACAGCAGGAAAAGGUUCGGUCGAACUCCAGAUUAACAUCUCCUGUUUUAUUCAAAUUCCAAUUGGUUUGAAGGUACUAUAGCAUAGAAAACAUCCGUGGAUCCUUGAAGCGUCUGCUUAAGUAGCGGCACGGCCAUUGUUGGGGGCCCUUGUCCUGGCUCUGUAAUGAAGGGGCCCCCACUAUUAGAGCCUAUACUCAGUGAGUUCAGGAGAGAACAUAAAAUGUUUAUCCUGCGAAAUUUUACAAUGGACCUGGCAAA